GAUGAACGCUGGCGGCGUGCUUAACACAUGCAAGUCGAACGGAAAUGCCCAAGCUUGCUUGGGUACUCGAGUGGCGCACGUGUGUGUAACACGUGGGUGAUCUGCCCUUCACUUCGGUAUCAGCCUGGGAAACUGGGUCUAAUACCGGAUAGGCCCACGUCUUGGAUGUUUUGUUGGAAAGUUUUUUCGGUGUGGGAUUAGCUCUCGGCCUAUGAGCUUGUUUGUGGGGUUAUGGCCUACCAAUGCGUCGACGGGUAGACGGCCUGAGAGGGUGUACGGCAACAUUGGGACAGAGACACGGGCCAGGCUGCUACGGGGGGUAGCAGUGGGGAAUAUGGCACAAUGAGCGCAAGCGUGAUGCAGCGACGGCGGGUGGGGGAGGAUGGACUUCGGGUUGUAAACGCAUUUAGCUAGGGAAGAAGCGUUUGUGUGAAGGUACCUGAAGAAGAAGCACCGGCUAACUACGUG
rnacentral:rRNA from 1 species